rnacentral:rRNA from 1 species
AACGUAGGUGGCGAGCGUUGUCCGGAUUUAUUGGGCGUAAAGAGCUCGUAGGCGGUUUGUUGCGUCGGCUGUGAAAUCCCGAGGCUCAACCUCGGGUCUGCAGUCGAUACGAGCAAACUAGAGUGUUGCAGGGGAGACUGGAAUUCCUGGUGUAGCGGUGAAAUGCGCAGAUAUCAGGAGGAACACCGGUGGCGAAGGCGGGUCUCUGGGCAACAACUGACGCUGAGGAGCGAAAGCGUGGGGAGCGAACAGG